GCGAUUCGCCCUUCGGGGUGCACCAGGCGCGAAAACUUUACAAUGCCGGCAACGGCGAUAAGGGAACCUCGAGUGCCAGGUUACAAAUCUGGCUGUCGUGAUGCCUAAAAAGCAUUGCAUAGCAAGGGCCGGGCAAGACCGGUGCCAGCCGCCGCGGUAACACCGGCGGCUCGAGUGGUAACCGUUAUUAUUGGGUCUAAAGGGUCUGUAGCCGGCCGGGUAAGUCUCUUGGGAAAUCUGGCAGCUUAACUGUCAGGCUUUCAGGAGAUACUGCCUGGCUCGAGGCCGGGAGAGGUGAGAGGUACUUCAGGGGUAGGGGUGAAAUCUUGUAAUCCUUGAAGGACCACCAGUGGCGAAGGCGUCUCACCAGAACGGACCUGACGGCAAGGGACGAAAGCUAGGGGCACGAACCGGAUUAGAUACCCGGGUAGUCCUAGCCGUAAACGAUACUCGCUAGGUGUCGGCCACGGUGCGACCGUGGUCGGUGCCGUAGGGAAGCCGUGAAGCGAGCCACCUGGGAAGUACGGCCGCAAGGCUGAAACUUAAAGGAAUUGGCGGGGGAGCAC
rnacentral:rRNA from 1 species